ensembl:lncRNA
AGAGGAGGAGAAAGAAGAGGAGGAGGAGGAAGAGAAGGAAGAGGAGGAGAAAGAGGAAGAUGAAGAGCAGGGGGAAGAUUUUGAUUCCCUGUCCCCGUGAGAAUUGCUGAUGACUACUUCUGGACACAGAUAUCAUGCUGAGAACUGUUUAUCAAAAUGAUUUAACAGAAUAUUAAUUUUCAUAGAAGACAUGUCAAUGUUCCUGAGGGCAUGCAGCCCUGGAAAAGAGAGCCAGAUGGCAGAAGCAAGCAGUGUGGAAUGUUCUUACUGAGGAAGACCUUCUCAAAGCUGAUGAUGUAAUAGGUAUGAAGGAGCAUUUCAUGGGAGUCACAGUCCCAUGCACCUGUGUCAGGGCACACAGAGCUCCUAGCCUUGCAUCCUGCGUGAGAUGUGACCUGGAAUAUUCCCUGAUCCCAACAGGGUCCUGGGUUGCAUGGUUCCCCCUCAGUCAUGGUCCUCCCUGUGCCUCAUGGGGUACGCAGCUUCUACGGGCUGAAUUUAUAUCAGUGAUUAACUGGAGCUGGACCACAACCACACCACAGGCAAGCCCUGGGCACUGAGGACAUUAGGAGCAGCAGACAACAUCUCCUCCGCUGCUUCUGACUCUGUUCCACAAGCCAAGGCAGCUCCCACACAGCAGGCAUCCAGCCUAACUCCCAGCAGGGAGAGUGUGAGAUGUCUGUGGAUGAGCCCACAGGGACUACAGGAUUCUGUGGGAAGACAUCUGGUAGCUUCUGGAGCAGCUGCAGCAUCCAGGACACAUGAACUACAGUGGAGGCUUACCAGAGCAUGAAAACGAAAUGGCCACCUCCUGUAACAAGAAAGACUUCUAGAAGAGGAAGGAGACAUCAAUACAUUCACAAAACCUUCAACUCGAAAUCUGUCUUGCCAAUAAGUGUGUAGGGAUAAAGACAGAAAAGUAGCACACCUGUCUCCAGAGGCUUCACUCAGCAGCUGAAAGCCACAGCCAAUCCUCAGAUGGAGCUCGGGAAGUCUUGUGGAAGAGUGG